AGCGAACGCUGGCGGCAGGCCUAACACAUGCAAGUCGAACGGAUCCUUCGGGAUUAGUGGCGGACGGGUGAGUAACACGUGGGAACGUGCCUUUUGGUUCGGAACAACUCAGGGAAACUUGAGCUAAUACCGGAUGUGCCCUUCGGGGAAGAUUAUCGCCACUUAGAGCCGGCCCGCGUCUUGAUAAGCUUGUUGGUGAG
rnacentral:rRNA from 1 species